GUUAUUUAAGUAAAAUUUGACAUAGCCCUUGAGCAUAUUUGUUGUUUAGUGUUAUUCAAGUAAAGUGUGCAUAGCCCUGGAGUCCAUAAACAUACGUGCAAUAAGUUUUGAAACCAUUGCAACCUUUAAUAUUCGAGACUUGGAAAGAAGUUGAAGCAGAAGCAGCUGCAGUUCAGGUUAACACAGACUGUGUAAUAAAAAAAAUGGUGAAUAAAUAUGCCUUACUGGUGGUUUAAUAGUUGAUGGGGAUGGAAGAGCGGAUUCCCCAGGUCACUGUGCUAAAUUUGGCACAUAUACAAUAAUUAAUUUACGAAACAACAAAUUUAUUGCUCUAAAUCUUGUUAGCUGAUUAUACUGUGUUUUCUAAAUUUGGCACAUAUACAAUAAUGAAUUUACGAAACAACAAAUUUAUUGCUCUAAAUCUUGUUAGCUGAUUAUACUGUGUUUUCAGAGUAAUGAAGUGGCCAACAGCAAAUGCCAUGGAAAAAGAAGGUUUCUUGAGCAGUAUUGAAAAUAUAAAAAGCUAAGAAUUGGUUAUUCAAGUCAUUGUGACUGACAGGGCACCCGGAAAUUAUAAAAUACAUACGUGAAGUCAAUAAAACAUUAUUUUGAUGUCUGGCAUGUUGCAAAAGGUAUGUUGAAAAAUGACAACGGUAAUUCCCCAGUUGUGUGUAUGCCAGGCGAGACAAUUGCCACAUGCCAAUAACGCGUUUUUUAUUGUUUUGCUACACGUGUUUUCCUGUGCCGUACAAACCUCAUACAUCUAUGUGCAAUCUUGUUGUGGAGUUGAAUAGAGUGUGCGUCGGGGCAAUUAGGAACAGCGUCGUCGCGAGGCUGCAUAACGUGAACUCGCAAAACAACUUAUAAGCUGCCCCCCACAAAUUUAACAUGACUGACUUCUGUGUUUCUUAAUAUAUAGAGCAAAAAUUGUUAACAUUUUACUAUUUCAUAUUUGUUACAGGUUACAAGUAAACCAGGGAGAAAUAACUUUGAAAAAUUAGCUUACUCUAAUUGUCCAGCCUCUUUUCAAGUCAGUAUGGAUGGAAUCUCAUUUGCAAGUGGUCAUUUUUCACUCUCAAAUGAACUUAUUUUAUCGCUGGGAAAACAGCACAAGAAAAAAUAGAAAGCUGGCUAAAGUACUUGGUGAUGAUGAGGCACAGCCACCUGCCUUACGAGCACAGCCUUAGAUGAAAGCAAAAGCGCCAAACGGUUGUGUGGAUUGGAAUCAUGUGCAAGAAAAUGCAUAAGAAGAAUGCAAUACGAUAUCCUGGCUUUAGAAGAGUAUAAAAAAAACAGUCCCGACAUGGUUCAUGCAAUUUCACUGAUAAAAAAAAACUUAUUUAGCACAGCGAACACAGAUCAACGAAAAUGAGGUUGUUAAGAAGGUUUUGGAAAAGUGGCCAUUUCUACGGUAUCCUAUAUUUUUGCUCCAGUAUUUAUGGUACCUUGUUUUCUUUAUAAAUAAAGAAGACGUGACAGAUUUGCCCUGUGACAUGGCAAGACGAAGUGUAGACGUCUACAGAGUUUUAAAAUUGUAGAAAUAAGCAAACAGUUGUUUCGACCAUUGACAAAAUUCAACGUGAAUGUAUGCUUACCGAAGUCAACAGAAAUAAUCAAUUUCACAUUUGAUGAAGACCACCAGUUCUGUGUUUUUUUGCAUCCAGAAUGUAUGCUGUUCUGUGUUUUUUUGCAUCCAGAAUGUAUGCUUGAUAGAAUCAGAAAUCAAUAACUGCAUACUGUGUGUACUAAGAGGUUCUUGUUGCCGUGGUAAAUAUUAUGAUCGCUAAUAGUAAUCUUUACAAAAUGUUAAUAAAGUAAUGUAUUUUGGCAGUUCUCUUGCAACUAGUGAGAAGUUUAAGCUGGUUGUUUUGAAGACCAGUGCUUUUGGAUUGCGAUGAUUUUUUCCUGGGAUAAACCCGCAUGUUUUUGUCUUUAUUAUAACUUCAACAUGGAGUAUCCAACAAAAGCAGUCGCAACAUUAGAAUUUAUUCAGAGGUACUUUGCAUGCAUCAACUUUAAAGGAUCAAAGUGUGCAACGUCAGGACAUCACAAGCAUGCCCACCUUAAAGUGCUCAGCCAAAGCUUUGCUUAAAGAGUAUGAUAUAUAUAUGGGCAGGCAACUGUCUAAUUUCCAUUAGAAAGAAUUGAAAUUUGGUGAUUCAAAUCACACAACAUUGCUUUCAUAUGCAAAAUCACGCAUUUACGCUGAACAUUGCCAUUUAGUAUUAUCGCUGUUAUAUUUUUGUCUUAAAAAGUGAAAUCAAGUUUUGUUUAUGAUUUUGAUCGCAAUAUUCAUUAACUAGGUAGCAUUGUCAACAUUAACUAAGUAGUAGCAUUGUCAGCAUUAA